rnacentral:lncRNA from 1 species
GGUAUGAUCUGAUUCUAGAGAACGACAUGUUGUUGGACUGGGUAUGAUCUGAUUCUAGAGAACAGGGCAUGUUGUUGGACUGGGUAUGAUCUGAUUCUAGAGAACAGGACAUGUUGUUGGGACUGGGUUGAUCUGAUUCUAGAGAACAGGACAUGUUGUUGUUGGACUGGGUAUGGUCUGAUUCUAGAGAACAGGACAUGUUGUUGUUGGACUGGUAUGGUCUGAUUCUAGAGAACAGGACUGUUGUUGUUGGACUGGGUAUGGUCUGAUUCUAGAGAACAGGACGUUGUUGUUGUUGGGACUGGGUAUGGUCUGAUUCUAGAGAACAGGACAUGUUGUUGGACUGGGUAUGGUCUGAUUCUAGAGAACAGGACAUGUUGUUGUUGGACUGGGUACCACAAAAUAACUUUGAACAGAGUGCUUAUCCAUUGUGUUAUGGUGAUCGAUAGAAUAGAUAAGGCUUAACCUUUACCCUUUACAGGUUAAACCUUGACCUAGAUCUUUGUCAGAUUAUGUAUUUCCAGGAGUGUGUGUGUGUGUUGGUAUCGGUUUGUUAAUGCUUGUGUUUACAGUGGUUUUGGAGCAGUGGCCAUUGGUUCUUCCUUGCUGAGCGGCCUUCCAGGUUAUAUCGAUAUAGGACACGUUUUACUGUGGAUAUAGAUACUUUUGUAACCGUUUCCUCCAGCAUCUUCACAAGGUCCUUCGAUGUUGUUCUGGGAUUGAAUUGCACUUUUUGCACCAAAGAACGUUCAUCUCUAGGAGACAGAACGCGUCUCCUUCCUGAGCGGUAUGACGGCUGUGUGGUCCCAUGGUGUUUAUACUUGCGUACUAUUGUUUGUACAGAUGUACAUGGUACCUUCAGGUGUUUGGAAAUUGCUCCCAAGGAGGUCUUGGCUGAUUUCUUUUGAUUUUCCCAUGAUGUCAAGCAAAGAUGCACUGAGUUUGAGUCUGAAGGGCACGACCAUGACACACAUCAUAGUCGUCUGUCUCUGGGUCGUCACUAUUCUCCCAUUGUAUCUGCACACAGGUGAUUGUGCAAAGAUCAUUGGUGGAGUGGAGGUGGUGCCUCACUCUGGCCCUAUUGGAGAACGGCAAAGGUGA